CGAGCCUCUCCUGGGAUGCUGGCUGCUAACAAAAUGAGCCACAAACUGGUGGCUCAUCGGAUCAAAGGAGAAGAUAGUACCCGACUUCAGCAUCGAGUACCAGUUCCUUGCUGCUCCCUUCAAAGUAGAUGGGAAAGCUCGGCACAUGAUGGCGUCUGAUGCACCAUGAAGUAGCAUCAUCAUCCGAAAGGCCUCCAGGUGGUCAACCGGAUCUGAGGUUCCAUCGUAGCUUUCAAAUUGGGGGAGCUUGAAGUUUGGCGGGAUCGGUUCCUGCA
rnacentral:lncRNA from 1 species